CUUCGGGAUGUCUAGAGAUAUCUACAGUGCCGACUACUAUCGAAAAAGUGGAAAGACAAUGCUUCCGAUAAAAUGGAUGCCUCCCGAGGCGUUUCUGGAUGGCGUUUUCACCACAAAAACUGAUGUUUGGUCAUUCGGUGUUUUGCUGUGGGAGAUGUUUACAUUGGGAUACAGUGCCAUAUCCUGGGCAAACUAACAGUGAUGUCAUGCAGUUUGUGUCGUCUGGUGGCCGCCUGGAUCCACCAGAUAAAUGUCCAGCUCGACU